AUGAGGUCCAAUCGUGCCCCUGGUCCAGAUGAUAUCCCUGUUGAGUUCUAUCAACAUUGCUGGGAGGUGGUUGCCCACGACCUUUUCUGUCUUUUCGAAUGGUUCUAUGAAGGCAAGUUGGACGUACAACGCCUAAACUAUGGCAUUAUAACUCUUUUACCCAAAUCGGCAGAUGCUACAAGAAUCCAGCAAUAUAGGCCAAUUUGCUUACUUCGUUGCCCCUAUAAACUUAUCACUAAAGAUAUGGAUAUUAGAGUAAGCAAAUAUGCCUAUAAGCUGUUUAGUGUCCAGCAAAAUGCGUUU
rnacentral:rRNA from 1 species